UGGUGGGUAGUUUGACUGGGGCGGUCUCCUCCUAAAGAGUAACGGAGGAGCACGAAGGUUGGCUAAUCCUGGUCGGACAUCAGGAGGUUAGUGCAAUGGCAUAAGCCAGCUUGACUGCGAGCGUGACGGCGCGAGCAGGUGCGAAAGCAGGUCAUAGUGAUCCGGUGGUUCUGAAUGGAAGGGCCAUCGCUCAACGGAUAAAAGGUACUCCGGGGAUAACAGGCUGAUACCGCCCAAGAGUUCAUAUCGACGGCGGUGUUUGGCACCUCGAUGUCGGCUCAUCACAUCCUGGGGCUGAAGUAGGUCCCAAGGGUAUGGCUGUUCGCCAUUUAAAGUGGUACGCGAGCUGGGUUUAGAACGUCGUGAGACAGUUCGGUCCCUAUCUGCCGUGGGCGCUGGAGAACUGAGGGGGGCUGCUCCUAGUACGAGAGGACCGGAGUGGACGCAUCACUGGUGUUCGGGUUGUCAUGCCAAUGGCACUGCCCGGUAGCUAAAUGCGGAAGAGAUAAGUGCUGAAAGCAUCUAAGCACGAAACUUGCCCCGAGAUGAGUUCUCCCUGAGACUUUAGGUCUCCUGAAGGAACGUUGAAGACGACGACGUUGAUAGGCCGGGUGUGUAAGCGCAGCGAUGCGUUGA
rnacentral:rRNA from 1 species